GGCGGCAGAGGGGGGUACAGGAGGCCUGGCCAGGUGACAGCUUUCUCAGGAGCCCAGGAGCUUCUUGGGGACAAGCUCUGGAGGCUGUUGUGGAGUCCCGAGACUAGGCCUAAGGCAUUGUCCUGUGCCUUUGAGUGGGCAGUGGGCCUGUUGGGCAUUGGGACAGCUGUACCAGACAGUGCUGUCCCCUGUCCGUGUACCCUUUAGCUUCCCAUUGAGAUAGGGAGGAGCCUUCUCAGCUUGACCCCAACUUCCAGAGACCCCUCAUUCCUGUUGCUCUUUUGGGCUUCAUGAGAUGGGAGGGCGUGACUGGAGUGAGGCAGAUGAUGGGAGCAGCUUCUCACCUGACCUGUGAGGACUCCGAUCAUGAAAGCUAGGGCUUGGGGGUGGGGUAUAGGGAAGGACCAGGGUGGGGAGACUUGACUGAACACCUCUAUCACAUCGACUUCGGGGUGGGCUGAGCCCAGGGCUCACUCAGGGGUGACAUUUGCAAAAAACAAAAAACAAAACAAAAAAACAAAAACAAAAACAAAAAAGAAAAAAAAAAAAAAGACUGUUCUGGGAAGAGGAGGGGACUGGCCAGCCUGGAUGUGAAGAACAAAGCUCCCCGAGCCACAAACCUGCCCCUCACCCUAUCCUAUACCCACCACCCUGAGUCAGCAGGCAGGCCGAGAGGCUGCGGGGCGUGAGCAAGCAGACCCCUGUUAUCUUUGCAUGACGAUUUUACUGUAUUUUUCUGAGCAAACAUUUGUCGUGUAUGUGCCAGUUUGUCCAGACUUCCCCCACCCCCACCUCCAUUCCCUUCGUGUGAUCCGAGCAGCUCUUGAAACCCAGGGAGGGCCAGCUCUGCAGAAGACCCAAAACAGGUGCCACCAACCUAGCCCUGCCCCAGACCCUCCUCCCACCUUUCUGGGCACUGGGCCCACAAGUGCUGCCUGCCUUCCUCCCUCUAGAGCCAUUCCUUCCCACUUCCCAUCUCUGCUUGCCCUCUUCCCUCCUCUCCACCAGGAAAGCAGUCUUAGAAGAGUAGCCCUUGUGGGAGGGGCUGUGGAAGGAUCCCCACGGCCUGUUUCCAUCUGGAAAGGAAGCUGGGGCCCUCUAAAGAGAGACCUGACCAGCCACAUGUGAUGGAGAGCGCUGUCAUACUGAGUACAGGAGGCUAAGCUCUUGGAGCUUCGUGGGGUGGCUUGGGGCUCUGCAGUAGGGGAGUGGACUUUGUCACACCCAGGGAGACUCCCCACAGUGGAGUGGGCUCUGUCCCUACUUUUUGGCCACCAUUCUUGGUUGGUGACUUAUAAAACCUCAGAUGCCACUUCAGGGGGACUUUAAAGAGAGGUCCAUUUCAACAAUGGGGAGCAGGUCACAGGGACCUUUGAGACAGAACAAGGAACCAAGACAUUGGGCCAGUCCCCAAGUUGACCUGGCCAGUCCUCUAGGGGUAGCCCCUUGGAGUUUCCCUCUGGCAUGUCCUAUAUACAUCCCAUCUAAAGUGGCUGUCCCUGGGCAGAAGUGCAACUGUCACAAAAUGACAAAUGGAUUCUUAUACCCUGGAGCCAAGGGAAGCCACUGACUUUAUGAGUUCUAGGCUGAGACUUGGGGGCAGGCCAUGAUUAGGGGCACAGAGAGAGGAGGAACCUAAGGGCUUGAUGGAGUCAUCUGAGGGACUUGUGGGUAGGAGGUCACAACUGGGCUUCCCUGUUAUAGUAGAAAACAGCCUGUGAGGCCUCCUUUGUGGGACUGUGUGGCUUUUCCAGAAUAGGCGUAGGCCUGAAGGAAAAACGCACAGUCUUAGCAGGUUUGAGGAGCCUGGACCAGGUUCUUGAGUCUCUGGAAAGUUCCCGACUCCAGUGUCCCUUCAAUUCUGAGACUCCUGAGUACAGAGCCUAUGCAGGGCUGGAGGGCCUGUCUAGGGAGGUGGCCAGGGAAAGCCCACUUAGGAGGACCCAGACGGACAGUGCCCGGAGGGGGGGCAGUUAUUGGUGGUACUGAUGUCUGGGGCUGGCCCAUGGCCCUCCUCCAUGUUCCCGAUUAGAAAUCGCACUAGCUCACAAUCCAGUACAUGUAAGGAGUUGAAGUUGGGCAGAAGUAUAGGGAAAGGGAAAUCUCUAGACAGGCCACGGGGGUGGGGUGGGGGUGGGGAGACAGACAGGGACAGCCCCCCCAUCCUUCCAGUUCAUGAGUGGCAGAACUGCAGGGAAGCAGAUGGGGGCUUCCUCGCCAUGAUGGGCAUAGGGGACCUGGUGUCCUUUGGUCUCUCCAAGAAGACAGGCAACGGAGCUCUGCAUGGUAAGACAACCAUUGCUUUAGAAAUGAGCUCCGAGGGGGAGGAGUGUCUAGUUACCAGUAGGGUGACCCUCACCCCCUUAAUGUUUGUCCCUCUUGACAAGGCUUGCUGUCUGGGAUGGGAUCCUCCUUCUCCCAGGCCCCGUGCUCAUAUCACAUGACCUACAUCCACCUCUAAGAAACAGUCUCCUCCCCUACCCCCCAGCCACUAGCCUCAGUGUCCCCCUCUCAGCUGCCAGCUGCCCCUGCUUGAAGAGCAGGGAGAACAGAGGUGUCCACAUAGGGUGGCCUGCUUUUCCUCCCCUCCUCUUUUGCCAGUAAAGCAUAGGGCUGGGGUGGAAGUCCAGGCGAUGAUGGCCACCUCUCCUCCCUGCUUCCCACAUCCCCUUCCCUGCACCCUCCUCAGGAGCUGCCUGCCCCCAGGGGCAUGGCGGCCUGGCACCUGGUUUGAGCCCUGCGGAGCUGGGCUCGGGGCCCUGAAUUCUGAACCUGUGAUCCCUCGCUGUGUACGGACCUUGCCCCCUCCUGGGGGGCCCUAGGCCCUCUCCUUUUCUUCUUUUAGGGGGUAACUUCAUUUAUUUCUCCUCCCUCCAUUCGCCUCCCCCCUCCCCUGAUUCUCCUGUUUUAAACCGAAUGGCACGAAACCGUUUUCCUCACCUUGGAGACUCCUGUAUGGAGAGAAUUUCUAUAUUUGCAAUAAAUUUCUUAUUUAAAAC
ensembl:lncRNA